rnacentral:lncRNA from 1 species
AUUUGUAUAAACAUUUGUAUGCACGUUAUAUUGUAAUAGCUUUGCCUGUAUUUAUUGCAAGACCACCAGCUCCCGGAAGCUGAGUUACAGAGUACUUAAAUGGGGUGUUCACGGUGAACUUGGAUACACCACUUAGAAAUUAAAUAAGCAAAUAUAUAUAUAAAUAUAGCAGGUUACAUAUAUAUUUAUAAUGUGUCUUUUUAUUAACCAUUUGUAAAAUAAAUGUUACUUUCCAUGCGGUUAUUUUAUGGUUCAUUUGCAGUGACUUUUAAGGCAGUACUGUUUAGCACUUUGAUAUUAAAAUUUUGCUUAUGUUUUGCUAAAUUCAAAUAAUGUUUGAAGAUUUUUAGGUCUAAAAGUAACUUUAUAUUAUAUAUAUACUCUGUAUCAAGUCAAAAUAUCUUUGGCCAUUUUGCUAAGAAACAAACUUUGAAUGUCAAACUGAUGUCAUAGUAGUUUUUGUUAGCUUUGAAUCAUUUUUGCUUUAGUCUUUUUAAAGGAAACAUAACAAAACUAUGCUGUUUAUAUUGUCAUUAAAUUAUACAAUCAAACAAAUGCC